CUUUAAAGUAAUACGUUGGAACGGAAGUUCUCUUACACCGACACGCGCGACAUGAACAAGAAGGCCCGUGACUGUCUGAUUGAUGUCCAUUUGACCAAGUGCCUAUAAUACAAAGUGGGUACUGUAAUAAAAAGAAGCUUUAAGAAGACUGGGAAGACUAUCUAUUUUCCCUGGUAACUAUCAUUUAACACUAUAACUCAAACACCUUGUAAAAAACAUUUUUUUUUUGUUUUCGAAUUAAUUUAACAUUCAAUUCAAAAAAAUAAAACUAUGACCUAGUGGCUAAUGCUAGAUGUUAAUUAGACUAAGUCUGAAGUUGAAUAAGUCUAGCUAGCUUUUAGGAAGUUGUUUAUGUUUUGUAGUUGAGUAGUUGUGUAAUGGCCUACUCUUAUCUUAUUUCCUACUUUCUCCGUUUAGUUGCUUUACUUGUUGUCAAGCUUCUAUAAAAGCUUGUGUACUCUUCUUUGUGAAAUACAACGCAUUAUCAGACUAUAUUUCCUUUAUCUCGUAUCAGAGCGAAACAAAACGUGAGUGUUUGAGAGGAAAAACAUCACAAAGAAGAUGACAGGCGCUGGAAGCUUUUCGACACCCGCUGUUCCUAAAUUUGAUGGAGACUACGAUCACUGGAGUUUGAUCAUGGAGAAUCUUCUCCGAUCCAGGGAAUACUGGAGUAUUAUCGAUCCAGGAUUGAAGAUCUGAGAAGAAUUGAAGCGCCGAGCCCUGUGCAACAACAAUCCCUCACUCAAUGAAGCAAAACUCAAAGAACUACCUCUUUCAGUCAAUCGACAAGACCACGCUGAAGACAAUAACCCAAAAGGAGACGGCCAACCAGCUGUGGGACUCAAUGAAGGUUAAACACCAAGGGACUGCUAGGGUGAAGCGAGCUCAAUUGCAGAGGCUGAGGAAAACCUUUGAGACACUGGAGAUAAAGAUUGGUGAGAAGGUAUGUGGAUACUUUGCUAGAGUUAUGGAGACAACCAAUGAUAUGAGAAACUGUAAAGAGAUCAUUGAAGAUGUCAAGGUUGUUGAGAAGGUACUCCAGAGCCUCACAGAAAAACUUCAACUUUGUGAUAUGUUCAAUUGAGGAAUCCAAGGACAUUGAUCGUCUCUCGGUGGAUGAACUGCAGGCGUCUCUACAGAUUCAUGAGGGCAAAGUGACUGAGCAACGAAGUGAAGAACAGGUUCUUCAAGUGGAUAAUGAGCCAAGGUAUGGUAGAGGAAGAUGAAAAUGGAAUCCUCAGAGAGGAGGAAGCAGUUAUCGUGGACGAGGAAGAGGUCGAUCAUUUGUGAAUCGAUCAGCCAUCAACUGCUUUAGAUGUCGUUACCAGUUUGAGUGCACUAGCCUGGAGAAGAAAGCAAACUAUGUGGAGUUUGACGAGGAAGAAGAGUUACUCUUAAUGGCACACGCUGAUUUGAGUAAUGCUGAGGGCAAAGGGGUUUGGUUUCUAGACUCUGGAUGCUCUAACCACAUGACAGGAGAGAAGUCAUGGUUCUACGAACUGGAUGAAGGGUUCAAACACUCGGUUCGGUUGGGAAAUGGUGCAAAAAUGAUGGUACAAGGAAAAGGAAACGUCAGGUUCGAAGUAGAAGAGAUAACUCAAAAUGGUAAUUGACGUAUACUAUGUGUCGAACCUGACCAAUAACCUGCUGAGCAUUGGACAGUUGCAGGAGAAGCAUCUGACAAUCCUGAUUAAGAACAAUGUGUGCAAGAUCUUCAAUCAACAGAAAGGUCUGAUUGUAGAAACACACAUGACCAUGAAUCGUAAGUUCUUAGUGUAUACUAAGAAGAAACCAGCACUUGGAAAUUGUCUCACAGUGGAAGAAAAAGAUUUGAGACAAUACGUUGAAGCUGAAGGUCUCUCUCACACCGACAAUCGCGACAUGGACGAGAAGACGCGUUACAGAUGUUCAUUAUUUGACCAGCGCGUGUUACAUGAAAUGGGUAAUGUAAAAAGGGAAGCUUUAAGGGGACUAGAUUUAGAGUGAACUUUCAGUCUUUCAUAGAGUUAUCAAAAUCAAUGUGAGUUUGUUGUUGCAAUGUCAAGAAUCUGUUUUCUUACGACGGCUUAGGCUAAGGUUGCUGCUGAUCUUGACACUGGUGAGAAGAUUGAGAAGACUUCCAUGGCGUGGAAGAGGCUAAGGCUAACCCAAUCCAACAUUAAUAACAGAACAAGAAGCAGAGCAAAACAGAUACAAUAGGCUUAAACCUGUUCUUCAAGAGGCAUGACAUUUGAGCGCCAGAGCUAUUUGGAGGAAUAAGUAAGACGAUGGUUCUGACACAUGCAAACGAUGUGAUGCCACGUUCCUAUAGAGAUGAUGGCUGAACGAUUUAUAAUUCAAUUGUAUGUGCUUAGGCUCGGCUAAAACACUCAUGAAUAUUGAUCUGGCUCCAUAUUCAUAAGACUCUUAUAAUAAAAAGAAAAGAAAAAAAAAAAGGCUAGAAGUUGUCCUCGUAACUGAAUCAUUAUUACAAGAAAGAGUAUUUUAUUUGGAUUAUUAUGAAGACCGCAAUGAUGCAUGCAUAUAUACUCUUUUUUUUUUUGGGCAACGAUGCAUGCAUAUAUACAAGAACUGAAAAAUGUUGGAAGAGACUAUACUUAAACAGAAUCUUUCAUGAUGCUUUACAAUGGGCCCCGCGUAACAAACAUCUGUGACGUGGAACAGUUGCAUUUAACUUCUAUAUAUUUAUUAUCAGCCAAGCGAGAGAGAGAGAGAUCUAUCUUAUUGCUUUCUCUAACAAAGAAGUCAAAAAAGCUAAUAGAAGUUAUCGGUUUAUUUCUCUUCCACUCGACAUCGACAACGACUCCACACUUUCUCUUAUCCAUGGAAGGCAAGAUUUUCAAUGGAGGUGCUGUGGGUAUUCUCGAAGAACUGAUAGAAAGUGCAGAGGAAGAAGUGCUUUUGGCUUCUUGCCGCUUGAUUAAGCUAUAUCCUGAGUUAGAGCACUGUGUCGGCCUAGAAACAAUCAUGGGCUGCCUUCCUUUUGAGAAGUUUGUUGAAGCUUGCAAAGACCCUCAAGACGAAACCAACGAGAUGAGAGCCAAGACGCUUUACAAGAUUUGGAACAGACAGACUGCAUCUUCAUCUACAGGGUUUCCAUACGAUGUGCAGCAGCUUUUGAUCGUGAAAUCAAACUAUGGUGAUCAUCUCUACGAAACCAUCCUUAA